CUGGUGUUCUUCCGAAUAUCUACGAAUUUCACCUCUACACUCGGAAUUCCACUCACCUCUCCUGGAUUCAAGCGAUGCAGUCUAAAAGGCAGUUCUGGUGUUGAGCACCAGGCUUUCACCUCUUACUUACAAAGCCGCCUACGUGCGCUUUACGCCCAGUAAUUCCGAAUAACGCUAGCUCCCUCCGUAUUACCGCGGCUGCUGGCACGGAGUUAGCCGGAGCUUAUUCUCCCGGUACUGUCAUUAUCAUCCCGGGUAAAAGAGCUUUACAACCCUAAGGCCUUCAUCACUCACGCGGCAUUGCUGGAUCAGGCUUUCGCCCAUUGUCCAAUAUUCCCCACUGCUGCCUCCCGUAGGAGUCUGGGCCGUGUCUCAGUCCCAGUGUGGCUGAUCAUCCUCUCAGACCAGCUAAGGAUCGUCGCCUUGGUGCGCCUUUACCACACCAACUAGCUAAUCCUACGCGGGCUCAUCCCUAGGCGAUAAAUCUUUGGACUUACGUCAUCAUCCGGUAUUAGCAGUCG
rnacentral:rRNA from 1 species